rnacentral:pre_miRNA from 12 species
UCCAGGAGCAGAUUCCGCUCAGACUGGGAUACACAAAAUGAGGGCACUUCCCGAUCUGUCUGGAAAGUGCUCCCACUUUGUGUGUCCUUGUCUGAGGAAAGCAUCCUUGUCCCAC